AUUUAAGAAUCAAGAAGACUAGCAGACGGAGGACAUUCUAAUCGCUGUCAGAAUGCUGGUGACUUUCAAAUACACCUCUGCCACCUGCUAGCUACAUCAAGAGAAAUUACGUCAAAAUUCAGCUUGGGGGAGAGCACCCCUAUUUAUCCCGCUAAGUAUUUUUAUCUAACUAUCUUAUACUAUUUUAGAAUAUAAAUAUAAAUAACUAUGAAAAACCAAAUAAAGAUUUUAUGCUUAUAUAUAUAUCUUUUGCUUAGUGUGUUUAAUAAAUAAAUAAAGUGGCUAUGCUAAUCUGUAUCUAAAUAAAACUCUAGCAUGGAUAUGAUGAAUAGUUGCUCUGCCUAAUUUGCACAUUUUAAGUUCUCUCUCAAGUUUAGAUAUAACUGUUAUAAUUUAAAGCUUGCUCUAGACCUAAACUUGUGGGAUGAAAACUUGAUCUGAAGUCUAAGUUGUUAAUGGAUACGAUAUGAGAAGGUUGAGCUGCUGUUUAUCUGUUUCUAGAGAUGCUAGAAUUCUGGAGAAUUUUAUCUUUGAAAAUCUUUAAAAUGUUGCAUGAUGAGUUCCUGUAUGAUGAGAGUUUAAAUUCCUACCACAGCCAUAUAUACAUACUUGCUAGACUUUGAGCCACACAUUUACUAUUUACUGCUUACGAGCAUUGAGUGUGGUCAAGCUGUGUAGACCCUUAGGAGCUUGUCAUGUGGUUAAAUCAAGAUUCACUUGCACGUUCACUCAUAUAUGCUACUUCUACUCCGGAAGUACCAUCCACAUAUAUCCACUCAUUUCCAUCUCCAGAACCACCUAAAAAUAUUCUACUCCUAAUCCGGGAGAGAAUAGCCAAAAAUAUUUUUGUUUUUCCCUUGUGAAAUAAAUGCUCAAGUUAUCUUGUUACUACCACUUGCUACAUUAUUUCAAGAGAUGAGUGCUCUAAAAAAACGAGGAAAUAAAAAGGAGCAAGUGCUCGGAACCUCGAAAGAAAAGAAAAAGUGAGACGAGAGGUAAAAAUGGACAAGUGUCCGACAGUAGAUUAGGGGUACAAGAUACCCACCUGAGAGAAAAGAAAAAAAAAUAAAGAGCAUCUCAUUCUCCUCAUAAAAUUUCAAAAAAAGCAAGAAAGGUAUGUAUCCCCUCAAAAGAGCAAAAGUAGAAUUAGACUUCCAUCACCAUUGUUUUCACCAUUGUUACCACCAUCAUCACCAUACACCAUUCAUUCGCCACACAUGCACAUCUUGAUUAAACUUAUUGACUUGUUACUUUGGAUCCAUGGUUUGACUAUACAAUAAAUGUCUUGUAAGUAUGUAUAUUUUAUCUCCCACCUAUGAGCUCCAGAUAUUAAAGCCUUAUUAGAGUAGGGUGAGAGAUAAGAUAAUGUCACUAUGCUUUAUACCACAAAUACUACAUAUCUUGAG
rnacentral:lncRNA from 1 species